rnacentral:rRNA from 1 species
GACGAACGCUGGCGGCGUGCCUAAUACAUGCAAGUAGAACGCACAGUUUAUACCGCAGCUUGCUACACCAUAGACUGUGAGUUGCGAACGGGUGAGUAACGCGUAGGUAACCUGCCUGGUAGCGGGGGAUAACUAUUGGAAACGAUAGCUAAUACCGCAUAAUAUUAAUUAUUGCAUGAUAAUUAAUUGAAAGGUGCAAUUGCACCACUACCAGAUGGACCUGCGUUGUAUUAGCUAGUAGGUGAGGUAACGGCUCACCUAGGCGACGAUACAUAGCCGACCUGAGAGGGUGAUCGGCCACACUGGGACUGAGACACGGCCCAGACUCCUACGGGAGGCAGCAGUAGGGAAUCUUCGGCAAUGGACGAAAGUCUGACCGAGCAACGCCGCGUGAGUGAAGAAGGUUUUCGGAUCGUAAAGCUCUGUUGUAAGAGAAGAACGGGUGUGAGAGUGGAAAGUUCACACUGUGACGGUAUCUUACCAGAAAGGGACGGCGAACUACGU